rnacentral:rRNA from 1 species
GACGAACGCUGGCGGCGUGCCUAAUACAUGCAAGUAGAACGCACAGUUUAUACCGUAGCUUGCUACACCAUAGACUGUGAGUUGCGAACGGGUGAGUAACGCGUAGGUAACCUGCCUGGUAGCGGGGGAUAACUAUUGGAAACGAUAGCUAAUACCGCAUAAUAUUAAUUAUUGCAUGGUAAUUAAUUGAAAGGUGCAAUUGCACCACUACCAGAUGGACCUGCGUUGUAUUAGCUAGUAGGUGAGGUAACGGCUCACCUAGGCGACGAUACAUAGCCGACCUGAGAGGGUGAUCGGCCACACUGGGACUGAGACACGGCCCAGACUCCUACGGGAGGCAGCCGUAGGGAAUCUGCGGCCAUGGACGAAAGUCUGACCGCGCAACGCCGCGGGAGUGAAGAAGGUUUUCGGAUCGUAAAGCUCUGUUGUAAGGGAAGAACGGGUGUGAGAGUGGAAAGUUCACACUGUGACGGUAUCUUACCAGAAAGGGACGGCUAACUACGUG